UGUUGGGGUUACAGAUCUGUGAUCUUAGAUGACCCAAACGUCAACUUGGGAACCAAAGAGAGUAUGCAGUUCAUAUCUUUUACACUGCUUGGAGGAUUAAGUUCCACUUCUUAUCCAAAUUUGAAUUUGUUGGUUUAUACAAUCUGAGAUCUUACCUGACCCUAAAGUAUACUUGGUAACCAAAGAGAAUAGCAGAACAGAUCUAAAUGUUUAAAUGGUGAUCCAAAGUUGUGAGUGCGGAAGGGAUACAGAUUGUACUAUGUUUUUCCAAGGCAAAGCAGAUUACACAGUACGUUUCAAAAAAAAAAUUACCUGCUGAUCAUGGAACACAACUUCUUUGGAUUUGAGUACGGAAGACGACUUCCUUUCUUGGAUGUCAUACGCCCUCACAGUUCGCAAACGCAGUGCGUUGCGUGUAUUCAUUGGGGAUAUAUCACUUGCAAGAACGUACAGUGUUGCCUGCUUGUAUCGCCUGCAACUUGUGCUAUUACGUGUAGAUGAGCUUGUGAGAUCCAAAGAUGAGCAAUAGUGUACAAAUGCUGAGACUGUUAUUUAAAUAUCCAUGGCCUGCACUAUCGUUGGAAAAACC